AAACUAAGGGCCUUGGCAGACUCCUUAAGACGUCACAGACCACUCGCACUACGACCGAGAAGAUCACCAUUAUGUGGGAUCCUCGACAUUGUGCAGCUACAACAAAGGAGCAGCACAGUGCGUUGGGCACCGACGUUGGGUCAGUUAUCAAGAACCAUUGCCCCCUCAUGUGGGAGUCAUGGAGAGCUAUCCCACAAGAAGUCAAAGACGUCGUUUUUCAUGAAUUAUCGAUAAGUAUUUUUAACCUCAAAUACUAAAUUUUUAUUAAAGUAUACAAAGAUUAUAAGUUUUAACUACUAUUUAUUUGUUCAGUUUUGCAGCAUCACUAUGAGCUCUCCAACCUUGAUGUCAAUCAACUGCAAUACAUCAACAACCUUUGCUCCAGUAGGUUCACUCAAUGGAAGAGCGACCUCCACAAGCAUUAUGAGCUAUAUGAUGGUCCGAAUGUCGCUCUAGAAGUUGGGUGCCCUAUAGAGUUGGUGGACCGUCAGGAUAAAUAGGACUGGCUCUGUGGCCAUUUUCAAGACGAGAAAUACCUGAAAAAAGAUAACGGCAAACUCGAUCAAUCGGUUGAAGAAGAAACUUGUUCAUCGAUCAGGCUUACGACACUUCUCAUAUAGGUUGGAAGAGCGAAGUAAGGGGGUAAAAAUUCCUGAAAUUAACAUGUUCAAGGAGGUGUAUGUUCUGCCCAGGGAUGAGCUGACGGAGCAGCUUCAUUCCACCAUGAUGAAGAAGGGCCAGACCGUUAUGGAUGAGGUGGUUUCCCAGCUUCUCCUAAAGACCCCGAUCGAUGAGGUAUUUCCUCGUGAGGAUGCUGGGUUUCAGAUCAUGACAGAUACACUUGAUCAAACCCUUGGUCGUCGGCAUGGGAAUGUUCACUGAGGGCUUGGGAAAGCCCGCCUUCAGGACUCGUCUGCCUCAUCCUCCAAGCAGAGAACUGAAGAGGUCCAAACGCUAACAUUUGAAGUGGCGGGCUUGAAGGAGCAGAUUGUGGCCCAGCAGUCUCAAAUUGUGGCUUAAAACAAU